GAUGACUUGGAGUAAAUGAAAAAAUUCAACGACUAUAUCGUUAUGGUAAAAGUUCAAACAAAUUUACAUAGCGUCUUAACGUGCUAAGGUAGACAGAUACAUGAGAGGUGUUAGCAGCAGUCUUCAAACUGUAAUCACCAUUCUUAUGAUGCAUGUUCUGCAUUGUCUGAUUCAGCUGUGACUCUGAUAUCAACUGAAGGCUGAAUGUGUCUUCAAGUGAUACCAUAGAGCCAAAAAGAGCAAUGAAACCAUAGAGCCAAAAAAGAGCAAGUGAUACCAUAGAGCCUAAAAAGAGCAAGUGAUACCAUAGAGCCUAAAAAGAGCAAGUGAAACCAUAGAGCCAAAAAAGCAAGGGAUACCAUAGAGCCUAAAAAGAGCAAGUGAAACCAUAGAGCCAAAAAGAGCAAGUGAAACCAUAGAGCCUAAAAAGAGCAAAUGAAACCAUAGAGCCUAAAAAGAGCAAGUGAUACCAUAGAGCCUAAAAAGAGCAAGUGAAACCAUAGAGCCAAAAAAGAGCAAGUGAUACCAUAGAGCCUAAAAAGAGCAAGUGAUACCAUAGAGCCUAAAAAGAGCAAGUGAAACCAUAGAGCCAAAAAAGCAAGGGAUACCAUAGAGCCUAAAAAGAGCAAGUGAAACCAUAGAGCCAAAAAGAGCAAGUGAAACCAUAGAGCCUAAAAA